rnacentral:rRNA from 1 species
UACGUAGGGGGCAAGCGUUGUUCGGAAUUACUGGGCGUAAAGGGCUCGUAGGUGGCCAACUAAGUCAGACGUAAAAUCCCUCGGCUUAACCGGGGAACUGCGUCUGAUACUGGAUGGCUUGAGUUUGGGAGAGGGAUGCGGAAUUCCAGGUGUAGCGGUGAAAUGCGUAGAUAUCGGGAGGAACACCAGUGGCGAAGGCGGCUUCCUGGCCUGUUCUUGACGCUGAGGCGCGAAAGCUAGGGGAGCAAACGGG